UGAGUGGCCUGUGGCCGGUGUGUGGAGGGAGCAGCAUCCCGAGAUCCCAUGGAUGCUUGGAUGGAUGGACCCAUCCCAGAUUUCCAGGCUGGCUCUCAGCCUCUUCCACACCUUUGGAGAGUCCCAGGCUGCUGGAGCCUGGACCUCCAGUCUCGUGGUAAGGAAGGGGAGACAGCCCCGCUGCCCCUCAGCUGAACAUCGCAGGCGGGUUACAGCCCAGCAUCGCUCGGAGCAGACAGAAAACAGCCGUCCCUGUACCGCACGCUCUGGCUGACAGCUCGGCACGGGAAGCGAUCUCCUCUUACAAAUUACAGGAGCCCGUUUACACAGGGCAAACACUCCCCGUUCCACGGAGAGCAGAGCGAGACCGCCAGCGGCAGCAGCUCAGAGCCUCCUCUUCCCUCCUGGCUCUCCAAACCUUCCAGACAUGCUGCGGGAAGAACUCCACACUGCUGGGCACCACGGCCUCCCACAGCAGCCUGCCACAGCCAGAGACUGCUCGGGUGCACGGCUGUGGCUGCUGGAGCCCGAGCACGUGUGGGAUGGCCCAGAGCUCUCACAGGACAGCUCUUGGCGCUGAGAGUUGUCCUGCUCCAUCAUUCCAUCUGUGUCUGGGAGCUGAGCAGUCCUGGGUGAAGAUGUGGAAGGCUCUGACAGGGAACACAGAGUAGGAGUGGAAAUACUGGAGGCAAAGCUUCGGUUUUCAGCGCCUACUGAACAUGUGCCUCAUCAUUCUCUUGCCCAAGUUAGCGCAGAUCUGACUCUUCCAAGGCACAGCGCCUUGCAGGGAGCUUUGGUGGCUGCAAUCUCCUCCUAAUCCAGGCUUGUUUCAGGGAAAACAGGCAAUUUUAUAUCCCUUUGAUAUGGGUCUUAGCUGCUAAUGAUGCUAGGAAGUAAAAAGAAAUGGGCAUAGAAAUACACAACUAUGAAGAAUUAAAAUAGUGAAUUUAAUUCAGCCAAUUCCAACAAAAUUGGUAAUCCCCUGAAAAACAAACCUUGCACAGAAAACACAGAACAGAAAUGGUUCAUCUUGACAGCUGGUGAAAACAACUGGGUGAAAAGGUGAAUGGAAUAUUUCUGACUUCUCUGGAAAACAAAAGGUUUCACACAUCCUGAAAAUGCCCUAUUUUUGACUAAAUGGGUCGGUUUGUGAGGCAGGGAUUGUAAAUGCUCUGCAAGGAAAGCACAGCUCUGAACUGCAGAUGCCAAAUGUCUGCUUUUCAGAAAGCACUGAUGCUUCCCUAAAGGAAAAGCUGGGACCUCUAAAAAUCCUAGAAACAUGGAACGGUUUGGUCUGGAAGGGAAACUCAAAGCUCAUCUCACUCUAAGCCUCCACCAAGAGCAGGGACACGUUCCACUAGACUAGCCCAGAAACCUGAAGAACAACAACAACAACAAAAUAUGAUAUUUAAGAAUGGUCAGGACCUCAGCACUCAAUUUGAACCAGGGGCUGACAGUCCAAUCUGAACACAGCUGUAAAAUGGAUUCGCGGGAGAAGCUUUGGCAUUCCUUUUGUAAUUAGAAAACAGCCACUGAGGCGUGUGCCUUUAAAGGUGAAAGCUAUUUUUGACAUAAAAAUUAGCACGUAGUUCCUCUGUCAUCCCUCGGCUGCUGUGCUGGGAGCUGAGAGUGAACAAUCCAAAGAUAAGCAAGAAGUAUAAACAUGCUGAAUUAUACAAAUACGUAGAAGGGGAUCAGGUUGAAUUUGUUUUAUUUUGUGACAGUUAGGAGACAAGGAGAUUUAUUCUUACACUUUUUCUCUAAAAAGCACUGGUUAAAAGGUCCACUUAAGCGCUGAAACCCCAAUGGCAUUAAAAAACUUGAAGAGCUUUUAAUAGCUACCUAUUGAAAUUACUGUUAAAUCUAUUUUUGAGAUGGAUAAACUAAGCUACCAAUGAAGCAGGGCAGGAGUUUUUGGGAGGGCCCAGCAGUGAGGAACUGUAAUUCAUUUCUCAACAACUCAGCUCCUGUACAGGGACCUUGAGAUAAAAACUACCAAUGCUUUAACAACCUGAGCAUUCUUUAAAUUCCAAUUUUCUCUCUUUGGUGGGAAUCUAACCCCGACAGCCCUGAAAAUGAACCUGAGGCAGUUUUCAGGAUACAGCUCAGAGUGGCUGUUUCUAAAAUAAAAGUGAGGGAAGAGCAGCAGAACUUGGAGGCUUAUCAGCACCCGGAAUGGCCCGGCUAAUCCUCGGCAGCCCCGGCCCCUUUAUGUAACCUGGGAUUGCUGCAGCUCAGCAGCUUACUGGGGUCUGGGUGCUUUUCUUUAAACCUCUUUCUUGUGGACAAAUGCAAACACAUUAAAUACUUCUUUCUUUUGCCUCUCUAAGGAAAAAAAUUGUUGUAAGAGGGAAAAAAAAUGUUUUAUUUGUAUCAAUGGCUAAUAGAAUUAAACUUGUAUGCUGAGACUGAAACGUGUUUCUCUCUGAUCCAUCGUGACUGAACAGAACUUUCCCAGUUUACAAUACUCAGGUGUAACUCUUGAAAGAAAGGUUGAAUCCCAAAUUUCUCUUCAUCCCGAACACUCUCUGGAGGUGUUGGGGUGUUCCGAAUAAAGAGAAAAGCAGCCCCUUUACACCCUGUACCCCAUUUCUGGCUGGCUGUGCUGCAGUACUUCCAUCCCUGUGGCCACCUCCCCGCGGCUCUCCUUGCCCAGGGGAUGCCUUUCCAUGCCCUCCAUGACUGCUCUGACUGUCCACGGCACACAUCCUUCCAAGGCAAAGCCAGCUCUCGAGCUCUCGGCCGUGCUAAGCCAUUCACCUCACGCUGAAUGCUUACGGAAACUUCAGAAGGAAAAAAAUAAACCCCCUAUUGAACUCCUUGCAAUCGGAGACCUGAAUGGGCUCGGUGUAAACCCCACUCGAACCAGCGGCAGCAAUAGGCUUCCCUGGAUGUUGGAUUCCAUCCAGCUUAAAAGUUUCCAUGAAAUAAACUAGGCUAAGCGCAUCAGCUGCAUAGGAACUAACUCGGUGUAACAGGAGCAUCUGUUCUUCACGUCCACCAUUUUCUCAGAGCCCCAGCCCGGCGGCGCUGCGAGGUGCCGGCGGGUCCCGGGCACGGAGCAGCAGGAGCAUAGCACGCACGUGGUAUAAACUACUGCACCAGGUAGCUUUUGUUUGUCAGAAAAACAGCUUAAUGUAUUUGCAAGGAUGGCAUUACAGAGCGAAGUCAAUGUCCGCACUGAGACAGCAGAGGAGCACACCUCGGACCCAUUAAUACACGGUACAAAGCAAAUGUUUACCCAAGUACAAAUGAAACAGGUCGACAAUUAGCUAAUGCAGCUUUGUGGACAUAAACCAGGUACAGUCGAGCAGAACCAACAUAAAAUAAAAAGGAAACAGCCCUUUUCCUAAGCCACGCUAAGAGCACCGUGGUUAGUGGUUUGGGAAGCCUCUGUCACGGUGAAAAAUUUCCUUGCCGGUGUUUAAUGUGUUUAUUCUACUGCUACACUGCUGGGAUAAAAAUAACAGCUGGCUGUACAAGGGACCCACUGUCAAUACUGCAGUAAUUGACAACAUACAAUUAAGUCUCACACCUGUUUAUUGUAAGUAAUUCAUAGAUAACCACUUCUAGUACACAUUUUCAUAUUGGCUUUUAAUGCUUUUGUUCUCUUUUUUUUUUUUUUUUAAGCUCAGGGAUACCCAAAUUUCACCUAAGGGUCAUCACUGUGGUUACCCAGACCCAGAAGGCUAUACCUACUUUGGGGAACUGGUGCAAGGUGGCCAGGGAUGGCAGAGAUGGCUGGGGAACUGCAGGCCCCAACAUGCAGGACGGUGUGGAGCGGCAGGGGGCCGGGGCAGGGGCUGGGGACAUGCUGGCCGUGCGCGCCGGGCUCACACAGGGCCAAAACAAAGACCUCUACACACCUGGAGUAAGAACAGUGGUAACAAAGUCAUAGCUACAUAUUCUUCUCUACAUUUUUGUUUAUUGAGACAAACUAAUUAAAAGGCACAAACAUAGGGCAUAUGUUUACAUGGACAUUAUAACAAACAUAUACAUUAAAAGUGUAGGAAUGUGUUUCCUUUCUGCUAAACAGAAAGUUCCUAAGCUUUUAUAUAUACAAAAGUUGUACAAUUUGAUGUCCUAAAGUACAAAAGAUCAUUUAUAAAAUUAUUUUACACUAAGCUCUAUUAUUUUUUUUGUUUGUUUUUGUUUUACUAUGUAGUCCAAGCCCCUAGAACAGUUUCACGUAAGGAUACAGAUACCUGUCACCUGAGCCAGCAGCCUGGCAAUCACUGCUCGCACGGACACGGCCGGGGAGGAACGGAAGCAGUCCAGUGUGACUGGUCAGUCCUGCUAGCACUCUGUGAAAAUGCACACGCUAAUCUCCAGAGCUCUCAACUUCAUUAAGAUAAAAACAUCUCAACUGUCAUUUCCUCUUUUUUUUUUCCUCUUUUUUUAAAAUUUUAUUUAAUGUAGAGGUUGGGUUUAGGGUGGUUUGUUUUUUUUUUUUUUUAAACAAAGUUUUAAAAAUGUGAAUAUGUGACAUGAUAGUCUAAAAAGUAUAUCUGUUUCCCUAGACUUUGCUUUCUACUUUAUGUACAGAUAAACAGGUUAAGAAAAAAAAAAGCACAUGUAGCUUAAACAUGUGUGACCAUUUAUGAGCAGUUCUGGGCUGGACAGCUCGGCACCCCAGAACUCCCACAAAUUGAUAGAAAUGUGUUAACACAAUAGAAGAAUAACGUAAAAAUGAUGAUGUUUGCAAAUAUUUACAAAGUUGAACAGAUUUGCACAACACUUGAUUAAGAAAUAGGGGAGAAAUUAAAAGACGCUCUCUGCUUGUCCUGGAGGGGCAUCCUACCUAGUUAGUGGUUAGAAUAAAAACUGUAUACAAUUUAAUAUAAGACAAAACUUCUAGUGAACAACUAACACGUCUGUCCCCUGCUGGAACACCAGCAGGCUCUGACUGGGAGGCAGAGGGCAUAAAAAUCACACCCAGGGCCUCCAGAAUCUUCCAGCUUAAAGCAAUUUUCCUUAAAUUUCCAAGCACUCCUUUUGCUCCUAGAUAAGAGUCCCAUGGGGGUCUGACUGUUCAGAGACCAUGUUUACAUACAUUUCAACUCCUCUUCUGUCAGCCAUGGCUGUUUCUCACCAAACAAUAACAGGUUUUUUUUAAAAAAAUGUUGACUACAAUGCUCUAUUCCCUUAGGGUAAUAUGUUGGGUAAUAUUUACAUCUCCAAAUAUCAGGUCACAAUCCCUAUUAUAUGUUGAAGUUAGAAUGAUAAGUUAUCAUAUGCUUUGCAUAUCAGAGCUGGUAUCACCUUUCCCAUAGGGAAUGCUGCCUGAAAUUACCAUAUUCCCAAAGGUAAAAUGCAUAUUUUCUCCAAAAAUGCAUUUUUUUUAAAAUGACAACAUUGUAAUGCAUUUACUCCUU